AUUGAACGCUGGCGGCAGGCCUAACACAUGCAAGUCGAGCGGCAGCGGGAAAGUAGCUUGCUACUUUUGCCGGCGAGCGGCGGACGGGUGAGUAAUGCCUGGGGGAUCUGCCCAGUCGAGGGGGAUAACAGUUGGAAACGACUGCUAAUACCGCAUACGCCUACGGGGAAAGUGGAUUUUAUUCCGCCUAGAGAGAAGCUCGCGGCUGAUUAGCUUGUUGGUAAGGUAAGAGCUUACCAAGGCGACGAUCAGUAUCUGGUUUGAGAGGACGACCAGCCACACUGGGACUGGGACACGGCCCAGACUCCUACGGGAGGCAGCAGUGGGGAAUUUUGGACAAUGGGCGCAAGCCUGAUCCAGCAAUGCCGCGUGCAGGAAGAAGGCCUCGG
rnacentral:rRNA from 1 species